rnacentral:rRNA from 1 species
AACAGAGGAUGCAAGCGUUAUCCGGAAUUAUUGGGCGUAAAGCGUCUGUAGGUGGCUUUUUAAGUCUGCCGUCAAAUCCCAGGGCUUAACCCUGGACAGGCGGUGGAAACUACCAAGCUGGAGUACGGUAGGGGCAGAGGGAAUUUCCGGUGGAGCGGUGAAAUGCGUAGAGAUCGGAAAGAACACCAACGGCGAAGGCACUCUGCUGGGCCGACACUGACACUGAGAGACGAAAGCUAGGGGAGCAAAUGGG